rnacentral:rRNA from 1 species
CCUCGGGGGGCUGCAGUGGGGAAUAUUGCACAAUGGGCGCAAGCCUGAUGCAGCCAUGCCGCGUGUGUGCAGCAGGCCUUCGGGUUGUAAAGCACUUUCAGCGGGGAGGAAGGCGGUGAGGUUAAUAACCUCAUCGAUUGACGUUACCCGCAGAAGAAGCACCGGCUAACUCCGUGCCAGCAGCCGCGGUAAUACGGAGGGUGCAAGCGUUAAUCGGAAUUACUGGGCGUAAAGCGCACGCAGGCGGUCUGUCAAGUCGGAUGUGAAAUCCCCGGGCUCAACCUGGGAACUGCAUUCGAAACUGGCAGGCUAGAGUCUUGUAGAGGGGGGUAGAAUUCCAGGUGUAGCGGUGAAAUGCGUAGAGAUCUGGAGGAAUACCGGUGGCGAAGGCGGCCCCCUGGACAAAGACUGACGCUCAGGUGCGAAAGCGUGGGGAGCAAACAGGAUUAGAUACCCCGGUAGUC